rnacentral:lncRNA from 1 species
AGGAAACAUAGCCUGGCUCUGUGAAGGAAUACUGCUGUGACCGCAAAACUGUUUCUGUAGAAUUUUCUCCGGUGUGGUCAUCCUGCCUUCAGAGGUUUCUCCAGGACGUCACCUGUAUGAGGUACACAGUGUGAUGACACACUCUGUGCUUUUCCUACUUGUGUCCACGUGAGUGUCUGGAGCUGCCCUUCAAGGAGAGCAAUAGAUGAAUGAUUCUGCCUUCCCGCUGAGAGGGAUGUGGGUCCUGCGGAUGGUCGGGGUGAAGCUUCCUCUCCUUUCUGCUGACAGCACUUCCUCAUUAAAUGCAGAGAUCUGCAAAAAGGGAAAAUAAAAACACAAGAAGAAAAA